ensembl:lncRNA
AGAGGGAGAGAGAGGGAGUGGGAGAGAGGGAGAGAUGGGGAGAGAGGGAGGGGGAGAGGGAGUGGGAGAGAGGGAGUGGGAGAGAGAGAGAGAUGGGGAGAGAGAGGGAGUAGGAGAAAAUGAGAGAUGGGGAGAGAGAGGGAGUGGGAGAAAGUGAGAGAUGGGGAGAGAGAGGGAGUGGGAGAAAGUGAGAGAUGGGGAGAGAGAGGGAGGGAGAGAGGAGAGAGAGGGAGGAGGGGAGAGGGAGAGAGAGGGAGUGGGAGGGAGGGAGAGAGGGGGAGAGAGAGGGAGUGGGAGAGAGAGGGGGAGAGGGAGGGAGGGGGAGAAAGAUGGGGAGAGGGAGGGAGUGGGAGAGAGGGAGAGAUGGGGAGAUAGAGGGAGUGGGAGAGAGGGAGAGAUGGGGAGAGAGAGGGAGUGGGAGAGAGGGAGAGAUGGGGAGAGAGGGAGGGAGAGAGGGAGGG